rnacentral:rRNA from 1 species
GAUUAACGCUAGCGGCAGGCAUAAUACAUGCAAGUUGAACGAGAUAAGUUUUAGCAAUAGAACUUUGAAAGUGGCGCACGGGUGUGUAACACGUAUGCAACCUACCUUUUACUGGGGCAUAGCCUCUCGAAAGAGAGAUUAAUACCCCAUAAUAUAUUGAUAAGGCAUCUUAUUAAUAUUAAAGUUACGGCGGUAAAAGAUGGGCAUGCGGCUGAUUAGGUAGUUGGUGAGGUAAUGGCUCACCAAGCCGACGAUCAGUAGGGGGUCUGAGAGGAUGUCCCCCCACACUGGUACUGAGACACGGACCAGACUCCUACGGGAGGCAGCAGUAGGGAAUAUUGGACAAUGGGCGCAAGCCUGGUCCAGCCAUGCCGCGUGCAGGAUGAAGGCCCUAUGGGUCGUAAACUGCUUUUGUACGGGAAGAAACCUCACUACGUGUAGUGAGUUGACGGUACCGUGAGAAUAAGGAUCGGCUAACUUCGUGCCAGCAGCCGCCGUAA